GACCGCGUAGCUCAGUUGGCAGAGCAUUGGGCUAGUAUUCCAAAAGUCGUAGGUUCGAUUCCCACCGUGGUCA